GACUUUCUCUGAACACUUCAUACAAGAGGUUAUCCAUCUAAUCUAAAAGUCAUUAGAUAUUUACGAUGGGUCGUUCUUCAAUGAAGUGUUUGGGGGAACUU
rnacentral:pre_miRNA from 1 species